UACGUAGGGUGCAAGCGUUAAUCGGAAUUACUGGGCGUAAAGCGUGCGCAGGCGGUUCGGAAAGAAGGAUGUGAAAUCCCAGGGCUCAACCUUGGAACUGCAUUCUUAACUACCGGACUAGAGUAUGUCAGAGGGGGGUAGAAUUCCGCGUGUAGCAGUGAAAUGCGUAGAUAUGCGGAGGAAUACCGAUGGCGAAGGCAGCCCCCUGGGAUAAUACUGACGCUCAUGCACGAAAGCGUGGGUAGCAAACAGG
rnacentral:rRNA from 2 species